AGAAAGAGCAGAAGGUAGGGGUGACUUGGACAGUGCACUCAAGACAUUGUGGACUGGUGCCUAAAGAACCACGUCUUCAUCAACGCUGGAAAAACUAAGGAUCUGGUGGCGAAGGAGGCGCAGACCCACCUCACCGAUACUGCUACCUCUGGUCUGGUUCUUGUUUGGCUGUGGUGAUUUGGCUGGUACAGGGCUGCUGGCAGGUGUUUUACUGCAGAGGAUUUCGUCUGCAACAACGACCUCAAGGGCGGCCUCUCUGUUGAAAAGGACUGUGAACCGCCCAAAGCAACAUUUCACCAAGCUUCUUCAGACACUUCAAAGACAGAAACAGGCACUGAAAAGCACUUUAAUAUUUAGCAGGUGUUAAUAAGAAUUUACAGGAGACAGAAAUACAUUUUCCUGCAUAAUAAAGCAAGCCACCUGCAUCAUUUAGCAGGUCCAAAGAGCAGCUUUCAGGGAGCACACUCCAGUUUAAUGAGAGUAUGUUAGAAAAAGGCACUGCCAGCCUGCGACCACAACAAAGUCUGACUGUUUAUUCAAGUAUUUACAGCUGGCCGAGAAAGCUUUUUGUAUGUGACCUUGAAGUAAAGGCAGUAAAUUAAUGCACGGUGAGAGAGAAGUGAUCACAGAAGACUGGGUCUACACUGCUUUAAUGCUUCUUUCUUCAGAUUUUUUUUAA